CCAUAGAUGAGGAUCCGAUGAGGGGUAGCCUCUGAUGUCACUGCCUUGUUGGACUUGACCACGGAAGUGGUCUUGGUGCGGUACUGUUGGAUAACACCCACAUCCCCACCAUGUCCCAGAAAACAGUAAGCCUUUUAGAUAUUAGAAGUCAACAGUCUUCUGCUCUCUGGACUGUUCAUCUCCACCUCCCUUAACUCAUCCUCAAGACUCGAAGCCCUUACUCCAAGUCAUCGAUGUUCUUCCAAACACUAGAACUACAGCCAACCCUCUGGGUGUGAACUGACCAGGGGGGAGGGCAGAGACUCGCAUCUCCCUUGUGUCAGAUGGUAGACGUUUCUGUGCACAACCCAAGAUGGCAUUAUUGCUUGGGGCUUUGGGGCCAGACUUUCCAGUUUGGUUCAAUUUCAUUCAAUAAACAUUCACGAAGUGUCUAA